ensembl:lncRNA
UUUUUUUUUUUUUGUCUUUUGUCUUUUUAGGGCCACAGCUGUGGCAUAUGGAGGUUCCCAGGCUAGGGCUCAAAUCAGAGCUACAGCUGCUGGCCUACACCACAGGCACCGCAACGCGGGAUCCAAGCCACAUCUGAGACCUACACCACAGUUCGAGACAACACCAGAUCCUCAACCCACUGAACGAGGCCAGGGAUCGAACCCGCAUCCUCACGGAUAGCAGUUGGGCUCAUAAAGCCCUGAGCUGCGACAGGAACGCCACGUUCCUUUUCUGAUUUGUGUGUUGGCCUCCUACAAGUCUGGUUAAUGUGAGGUGGCCCCCAAGAGACCUAUCCAGGGGCAGCGACCACCAGGUCUCUGGCUCUGCAGGCCUGGGGCUGGGAGAUGCCAGCAGGGGGGCCUCCCUGGGAAAUCCUGGCUGCAGGAAGAGCAGCUGAAUGCAGCCAACAGGGCGGGUCAGACGUUCACUGUGCGAGAAAGCAAGAUCCAGAGGCAGCAGGACAAAGGACGUCCUGUGACGGACGCUGGGGCUGCUGGGAAGAGACGUGGGGGGCAGGGCAGCACCACGUGGGUUCAGAGGACCGCGUGACAAGAGAGCCACAAAGGGAGGAACACCGGCCCACACGAAGGCCACGCUUCCUGUCUCCGGAUGACGAUGACGGGAGUGAAGAUACAAUGAGGCAGAAGUGCAACGACCUUGACUAGCUGGGCAGCUGCGUCUCUAAACAGUGAAAACAACAGCAGGGCAUCCCCUGGUGGCCCAGCGGUCAAGGACCCAGUGAGGUCACUGCUCUGGCGCAGCUUCAGUUCCUGGCCCGGGAACUUCCACAUGCUGUGGGGGUGGCCAAAAAAAAAAAAACCAGCGGGGAAAACUAGACUGGAGAAAGCAUCUACACCAGCAGAGGCCCAGGACCGCCAGCUGCAAGCGACUGUUUUCAGCCCACAGCCACCCCAGUUCGCCAGGGAGCACGAGGAGGAGUCCGGUACCCCGUGUGCUCCAGCUUCCAGUAACCCCAAGAGUGGAACCAAAAGGGAACAACCAGGAGUUCCCGUCGUGGCACGGCAGAAACAAAUCCGACUAGGAACCAUGAGGUUACAGGUUCGAUCCCUGGUCUUUCUCAGUGGGUUAAGGAUCCAGCGUUGCUGUGAGCUGUGGUAUAGGUCACAGAUGAGACUCAGAUCCUGUGUUGCUGGGGCUGUGGUACAGGCCAGCAGCUGUAGCUCCCAUUAGACCCCUAGCCUGGGACCCUCCAUAUGCUGCAGGUGUGGCCCUAAAAAGUAAAAAAAAAUAAAAAAAAAAAAUAGGGAUGAACUGAGUGCCUCAUGGGAGAGGCCACAGUGACACAGUCACAUGCCACAGGAAGCUCGAGGGUGUGUGUGCUGGGCCCAAGGUGCCUGGGAGCUCACCCCAUGGGAUGCCUGGCCUCAGGCCUUGGACACCCCUGGCUGCAGAGUCUGCAGCGUCAGCCUCGGCCUGUGCCUGGGCCUGGACCCUGCAGGGACUCUGGACAGGGACUCUGGACAAGGGGUGGAGCAGUGGCUUCGUGGUCGCCAAGACGUAGCUGCAGUUUGUGCCUUGGGAGCCAGGAGGCAGCAGACUCCGAGCUCAGCACGGCCUGAGCCCGCGGUCAGGACAUGGGCGGCCGGGGCCUUUCCUCCCCCCACGGCCUCUCUUCCUUCCUCUCAUCUCCGUUCCUCCCUGGAGCCGAGGAACGCGGUCCUGCUGCUGGUUCUGGGGUUCUUUUCUACGCCUGUUUCUGGCUUUGGGGCCGAUCUGCUCUCACAACCUGAAAAGGACGGACGUUCCUUUGGACUAAACGAAGCAGGACAAUCAGCACGGGGUCCCUCUGCUGGGAGAAGAGCCAGCGUGCGGUAAGGAUGUGGCUCUGGGCACACGCACGUGGGCACUUGCAGCGGUAACGCUGUCGAUCCUGGGGUGCCACAGCGGGAACUCCUCGAUAACAGCUUGUAAACGUUGAGUUUUGUUAAUAGUGCAUCCUGUGUGACGAAGUCAGUGGCGUUAAAUACUCACAAUGCUGUGUAUCCAUGUCCACCACCCACACCCCAAACCUUCUCACCCUCCCGACCGCACCCGAGCCCAGCAAGGCCCCAGCGUUCCACUUUCUGUGCAUCUGCCUGCUCUGGGGACCUCGUAUAAAAGGAGUCGCUCAGUAUGUGUCCCUCGUGCCUGGCUUUCACCAAGCAUCGUGUCUUCAAGGUUUAUCCCCGGCGUCGCGUGUAGGUGCCCGGUUCCUCCUGCGGCUACUAUGCCUCCGUGUGCACGGCCCACGCCGUUUACCUGUUCACUGGCUGAGGGACCCGUCCGUGGGUCCCACCAGAGGCUACCGUGAGUCCCGCUGACGUGAAUGUCGGUGUGAAGACAUCUGCUUGAGUCCCUGCGUCCACUCUUCCCAGGGGUGAACCUCCGCCGGUUUCUGCACGUUGCUCCCUGUGACAGUCUUGCUAAACGAGCCCUUCAUAAAUGAUCUCCACAGCUGGUGGUCACUUCCAUGGCCACAUGCAGGCAGUGGCAGCCGCUGAGAAUGACAGGUAAGGGCUGCCCUCCUAAGGCUGCUCCUGGGCUUCACUCCUUGUCUCACUGCCCCGGCCGGAAUCUCCGACAUGGAAGAGCAGGGGUGACGGCGGCCGAUCCGCGUUGCUCCUGUUUGCAAACGUUUAACACCUAAGCCUAAGGUUCGCUUGCUGCGUGUUUUGGGAGACGUCCUACAUCCGGUUGGGAAACGUCCAUUAUAGUCCGUGUGGGUGAAGAGAUAUUAAUCACGAGUGGAUGUCCAAUUUUAGCAAAUAUUUUCCGCGGCUGUUGAGAUGACACUAUGGUGCCCCAGUUCUCCGUAAAACUGAAAAUGUGAGAGAUCACACCCAUUUUGAGCCAAAUUUGCCUUUCUAGAAAAAGAACGGUCCUGCCACAGUCCCUCUUAAUCGCUCCGGAUUUUAUCUGCAGUGUUUUGUUUAGCGCUUUUUCAUCUCUAAGCAGGUGGCACUGAGCUGUCACUGUGGCAGCGUGUUAUACGAGCCUCAUAAAGGAAGGCGGGAGUGUCUCCUCUUCACUGCCUGGGAGGCGCGGGAGGCACCUGCUUCCUGAGUCACUUGCGCACCAUCUGGACUUGCCGUCACCGCGAGCGAGACUGUGAUCUAUGGAUGCAAGUCUGUCUGGGGCUUAGAGGGUCUGCGGGCUGUUCCCUCCGGCGUCGGCUUCAGUAACUCAUCUUCCGUAACCCGCUUCAUCCAAGUUCUCCCAUCUCCUGACUUGCCGGUUUAGCGUUUUAGUCUCUGCCCCUUCUCUCUCCCUGGAUCCCCUGCCAGGGAUUGUCAGUUUCCGCAGUCCUGUCAAAGAACCGACUUUUGCUUUUAAAUUCUCUCAGUGGUAUCCAUGGGAGGUUCCCAGGCUAGGGGUCAAAUUGGAGCUGCAGCUGCCAGCCUGCGCCACAGCAACGCAGGAUCCGAGCUGCGUCCGUGACCGGAUCCUUAACCCACUGAGCAGGGCCAGGAAUCAAGCCCACAUCUUCAUGGAUACUGGUCGGGCCUGUAACCCACUGAGCCACGACGGGAACUCUGCCAUUUUUCCCUUUGGGAUGUACAGCCUGUAGACUUCCAGCUCUGCUGACCACGUAAGGCUACAAAUUUCCGUCUCGCUUUAGCUGCAUGCAGAGGUUCUGGCAAGUUGUAUUUUCAUUAUCAUUACGGUUUAAGUAUUUUAUGACUUUUAAAAAUUUUAACUGUAAUUUUUGUCUUUUUAGAGCUGCACCGGCGGCAUAUGGAGGCUCCCAAACUAGGGCUCAAAAUCAGAGCUACAACGGCCAGCAUACACCACAGCCACAGCAACGCGGGAUCUGAGCCUCAUCUGCGACCUACACCACAGCUCACGGCCACACCGGAUCCUUAACCCACUGAGCAAGGCCAGUGAUCAAACUUGUGUCCUCAUGGAUACUAGUCGGGUUUGUUACACAGCUGAGCCACGAUGGGACCCCAAGUGUUUCAUAACUUUUAUUAUGUUUUCUCCUUUGACUCAGGUAACAGGUUUUCUUGUUCCUGGAAUUUGAGUUUCACUUGAAUAGCAAGAGCAAAACAAACACAAACAAACCCCCCAA